UAGGGAAACUUACGCUAAUACCGCAUACGACCUACGGGUGAAAGCAGGGGACCUUCGGGCCUUGCGCGAUUGAAUGAGCCGAUGUCGGAUUAGCUAGUUGGCGGGGUAAAGGCCCACCAAGGCGACGAUCCGUAGCUGGUCUGAGAGGAUGAUCAGCCACACUGGAACUGAGACACGGUCCAGACUCCUACGGGAGGCAGCAGUGGGGAAUAUUGGACAAUGGGCGCAAGCCUGAUCCAGCCAUACCGCGUGGGUGAAGAAGGCCUUCGGGUUGUAAAGCCCUUUUGUUGGGAAAGAAAUCCAGCUGGCUAAUACCCGGUUGGGAUGACGGUACCCAAAGAAUAAGCACCGGCUAACUUCGUGCCAGCAGCCGCGGUAAUACGAAGGGUGCAAGCGUUACUCGGAAUUACUGGGCGUAAAGCGUGCGUAGGUGGUCGUUUAAGUCCGUUGUGAAAGCCCUGGGCUCAACCUGGGAACUGCAGUGGAUACUGGGC
rnacentral:rRNA from 1 species